UCUCUCUCUCUCUCUCUCUCUCUCUCUCUCUCUCUCUCUGUGUGUGUGUGUGUGUGUGUGUGAGAGAGAGAGAGAGAGAGAGAGAGAGAUAGAGAGAGAGAGA